AUUGAACGCUGGCGGCAUGCUUUACACAUGCAAGUCGGACGGCAGCACAGAGAAGCUUGCUUCUUGGGUGGCGAGUGGCGAACGGGUGAGUAACAUAUCGGAACGUACCGAGCCGUGGGGGAUAACUAAUCGAAAGAUUAGCUAAUACCGCAUAUCUUCUGAGGAAGAAAGCAGGGGACAAUUUGGCCUUGCGCUGUUUGAGCGGCCGAUAUCUGAUUAGCUAGUUGGUGGGGUAAAGGCCUACCAAGGCGACGAUCAGUAGCGGGUCUGAGAGGAUGAUCCGCCACACUGGAACUGAGACACGGCCCAGACUCCUACGGGAGGCAGCAGUGGGGAAUUUUGGACAAUGGGCGCAAGCCUGAUCCAGCCAGGCCGCGUGUCUGAAGAAGGCCUUCGGGUUGUAAAGGACUUUUGUCAGGGAAGAAAAGGGCGGGGUUAAUACCCCUGUCUGAUGACGGUACCUGAAGAAUAAGCACCGGCUAACUACGUG
rnacentral:rRNA from 1 species